ACAAUUUGAGUAAAGCUAGUUUCACACUAGCGGCAGGGGAGUCUGUCAGGCUGUUCCGGCAGGUGAACAGCCUGACGGAUCCGUCCUGCACCUAGUUCACGUGUACCCCUGGACUGCUGCUCUGUCCCCACCAUUGACUAGAAUGGGGCGGGAGCGGAGUUCUGGCGGAAGCACAGCAGUGCGCGGCGAGAGGCAGCCGGACUAAAAGUACGACAUGCAGUACUUUUAGUCCGGCUGCCUCUUGCCGU